GUCUACUGCCAUGCCACCUGAACAAGCCCAAUCCUGUCUCAGAAACUAAGCAGGGUCGGGCCUGGUUAGUACUUGGAUGGGAGACCACCUAGGAAGACCAGGUGCCGUAGGUG
rnacentral:rRNA from 1 species